AUGGAUCGCUCUAGCCCCACAGGGUCCGACUCUGACGCUGGGCCUAGCCAGCCAGCUGGGCAGCCUUCCUAUGAUGACCUUGCUGGGUCUCUGUUGCGUGGCCCGCCCACCCCGCCGGUGUGGCAGCGACGCUCCCCCUCUCCGCCGCUGCCGCAGCCACCGGCCUCCCCCGCAGCCUCCUCUCCGUCUCCGCCGCCGCCGCCGCCGCCGGGACCGGACUCCCCCGCAGCCUCGUCUCCGUCUCCGCCGCCGCCGCCGGGACCGCCUCACCUGUACCAGCUCGUUCCGCGGGCGGGAGCCCCCAAUGGCCCACCUGCUACGCUGCUCCGCCCUCGUCAGCCGGCCGCUCUCAAGCGGCCCGUCCACACGACGUUCAUGCCGUCCGGUUGCGCUGGGGCAAACAGGGCCUCCGAUGUGAUGAUCUUCGCCGGCCCUCCUCGCGGAACUCUCCCGCGACCGCCAGUGCCCGCGCCGGAGGUGGUUCAGCUCCCGCAUCCGGCGGCGCCCGUUCAGGAGCAUGCUCCACUGGAGCCGCUUGAGGAGGACGUCCCCCCCUCGCCGCAGCACGGCUCACCACCGCCACCGCCCGAGGAGGUACCUGUAGAUCCCUCCUCCUCCACUGAGCGUGGCGAGGCGUCAGCUUCACCAUCGGGAGGAGCAGCUGCGGAUUCCGGCGACCCGUCGGCGGCGGCGGCAGCAGCAGCAGCAGACCCAGUGGCGCAGCAGCAGCACCCCUUCACUAUGAUGUCUGCAGAUGAUCAAUGCCUGAACUGGAGGCAAAUACCGCUUUGCUGGAUCCAAAGUUCCACAGGGCUCCAGGAGUUACUCUUGUCGCUAACUGUCCGUCUUACUUUACUGUUGGGUAAAACUGGUGUACCUAUAAGAUGGCCGGGUUGUGGCCUAGCUUGGCAUUGUUGCAUCCUCCCUAAACAGAGGUUUAGUUUGGCGGCUGCUGUUCAUCUCCAUGCCUUGCAGCAAUGCCCGCUGAUUUGCUGCGUUUGGUGGCUGUUUGUGUGGUUGCGUGUGGAGGUUGCCCAGGCUGGUGGUGUGAUUAGGGAGGAGAAAGGAGCCGACGAGGAGAUGGCCGGAAUCAGUGAUGCCCCUGCACUUACUUCCGGUGAGCUUGCGGCUGUAUUGCAAGCGAUGGAUGAGAAAUACAGGGCUCUGUUUGAUGCAAUCAGCAAGCAAGCAAGCAGCUCCAAAUCAGAGGCUGAAAUAAAGGAGGAGAUACAUCCAUUACAGAUGCCAGAUGUGAAGUUAGAGGGUCCCCAGAACUAUGUAAGCUGGGCUGAGCAAGCUGAAACCAUCCUGGUUUCAAGGAAAUUGGAAGGAUACAUCCUUGGGACAGUAGAGAAACCUGAGGAAGAAGGUUCAAAAGAAGGCCAAAAAUGGAGAGCAACCAAUGCUUUGGUCAGGGCAUGGCUUCUGAGUUUUAUAUCUUCUCAGAUUGCAAAGCAGGUUGAGAGAAUCAAAGAUGUUUCAGAGAUUUGGAGGCUCCUGAAAGGCACAUAUUCAGGGGUGGGAAAUGAGAUGUUAGCAUGCAAAAUUCAAACGGAGUUGCAGGAGCUGAGCCAAGGUGAGAGAACAGUGGUGGAAUAUGUGUCUGAACUUAAAAGGUUGUGGAGUGACCUGGACUACUAUGAUCCAGUUGAAAUGGAGUGUGGGAAAUGUAUUGAGAAGCAUAGUAAGUGGACUGAGAGGAGACAUGUUAGAGAUUUCCUAAAUGGCCUCCAUCCCAGGUUUGAAAAUAGGAGAGCAGCUCUAUAUGGUAGUGGGAAGCUACCAAGUCUUGAGCAAGCAAUUUCUUCAAUAGCGAGUGAAGAAACUCCGCUAAGGUUGGAGGCAGCAGGAUCGGCUUCACAGGGAGUGCACAAAGGCGCUCAGCUUUCUUGGCUGCAAAAGGUGGAAGACACCAAAAAACAGGAGGAGGAGUCAUGGGCAUCAUCCUCUUCAUCAACAUUUUUUUCUGACUAUGAGGCAGGGGGAGAUAAAGAAGUGGAGAACACCGAUGCUGCAUCACAGAAGAUGAUGAUUGGAGUGAUACCUGCUGAAGGAAACGAACAAGAUACACCAAAUGAGGUACAACAAUGGAGAAAACCAAACAAAGAAAGGGAAUGCCAAGUGGAUACAAGAAGGCGACAAUCAAAAGAGAAACAAAUGCAGGGGGAGGAAGUAACUUCUUUGGAGCCUCACCAUGAAGCCUAUGAACCAGAAAGAACAACAUCUAGAGUGGAGUAG
rnacentral:rRNA from 1 species